rnacentral:lncRNA from 1 species
AUUAACAACAAUCUGUUAAUAGUAGAUGAUUUCUUUUCUUUUUUAAUUUUUAUUUUUUAUUUAAAUUAGAAACAAGCUUCUUUUACAUGUCAAUCUCAGUUCCCUCUCCCUCCCCUACUUCCCCCCCACUGACCCCCCUAUCGCAACCCCUUUCUGCUCCCCAGGGAAGUUGAGGCCUUCCUUUGCGGAUAUUCAAAGUCUGUUAUAUCAUUUGGAGCAGGGCCUAGACCCUACCCAGUGUGUCUAGGCUGCAAGAGUAUCCUCCUAUGAGGAGAGGGCUCCCAAAGUUCAUUUGUGUACUAGGGGUAAAUACUGACCCACUACCAGUGGCCCCAUAGAUUUUCCAGACCUCCAAACUGACCUCCUCCUUCAGGGGGUCUGAAACAGUCCUAUGCUGGUUUCCCAGCUAUCAGUCUGGGGUUCAUGAGCAACCCCUUGUUCAGGCCAGCUGUUUCUUUGGGUUUCUCCAGCCUGAUCUUGACCCCUUUGCUAAUCACUCCUUCCUCUCUGCAACUGGAUUCCAGAGUUCAGCUCAGUGUUUAGCUGUGAGUGCCUGUGUCUGCUUCUGCUUCCAUCAGCUACUGGAUGAAGGCUCUAAGAUGGCGUAUAAGUUCUCAGCAGAGCUGCAAUUGACCAUAAAUGUGAAGAUUUAUUUCUGUACCCAGCUGUGUGCCACACGGUUUCAAUUACUGCAGCUUUGUGAUUCCUGGAGUGCUAGAGACAUUUUCCAGCUUUCCUCGUGACCAGGAGUGAACUUAUGCCUCAGUUCUGGCCCAUAGGAACAAAGUGAAUGAAAGAUCAGCAGUUUCUAGAUGACCCCCUAAGGGCACAGGCCCAGAGGAAUACUUCACUCUUCCUUCAGGCUGAAUGCAGCAUUAACCCAGCUUUGAGACUCAUUGGGACCUGGUAGAAUAGCCA